rnacentral:rRNA from 1 species
UACGUAGGGUGCGAGCGUUAAUCGGAAUUACUGGGCGUAAAGUGUGCGCAGGCGGCCGCGCAAGUCGAGUGUGAAAGCCCCGGGCUUAACUUGGGAAUUGCGCUCGAAACUACGUGGCUGGAGUGUGGCAGAGGAAGGUGGAAUUCCACGUGUAGCGGUGAAAUGCGUAGAUAUCUGGAGGAAUACCGGUGGCGAAGGCGGCAUCCUGGACCGAGAUUGACACUGAGGAGCGAAAGCCAGGGGAGCAAACGGG